GGUGCAGGCGCCGUGGAGCCGGCGGGCGAGGGCUGCUUGGCGGCGGCGGGGCGGCGGGGCCGCGCGGGCGAGGAGGAGCGCAGGAACUUCCACGCAAAGACGACGACGAUGGCGAAGCCCGCGAUGGCGCCCAAGGACCCCGCGCUCUGUCAGGUAGUCAGCUAGGGUUAGGGUUGGGUGGGCGGAGGGGAAGGGGAGGCCUGCGGGUGGCGGAGUCGCUUACCUUGUGGUGGAAGAGGAGGGCGACGAGGUCGGAGAUCCGGCGGUUGAGGGCCCGGGCGACGCGACGCACCAGCGAGACGGUGCCCUGCUCGGCGGCGGCGAGGCCCGGCAUUGUGAGGCGGCGCGGGGAGGGG
rnacentral:lncRNA from 1 species